rnacentral:rRNA from 1 species
GACGAACGCUGGCGGCGUGCCUAAUACAUGCAAGUAGAACGCUGAAGGAGGAGCUUGCUUCUCUGGAUGAGUUGCGAACGGGUGAGUAACGCGUAGGUAACCUGCCUGGUAGCGGGGGAUAACUAUUGGAAACGAUAGCUAAUACCGCAUAAUAGUAGAUGUUGCAUGACAUUUGCUUAAAAGGUGCAAUUGCAUCACUACCAGAUGGACCUGCGUUGUAUUAGCUAGUUGGUGGGGUAACGGCUCACCAAGGCGACGAUACAUAGCCGACCUGAGAGGGUGAUCGGCCACACUGGGACUGAGACACGGCCCAGACUCCUACGGGAGGCAGCAGGAGGGGAUCUUCGGCAAUGGACGGAAGUCUGAACGAGCAACGCCGCGUGAGUGAAGAAGGUUUUCGGAUCGUAAAGCUCUGUUGUAAGAGAAGAACGAGUGUGAGAGUGGAAAGUUCACACUGUGACGGUAUCUUACCAGAAAGGGACGGCUAACUACGUG